UGCCAGCCGCCGCGGUAAUACGGAGGGCGCAAGCGUUGUUCGGAAUCACUGGGCAUAAAGAGCAUGUAGGCGGUCUAUUAAGUCGGAUGUGAAAGCCCUCGGCCCAACCGGGGAACUGCAUUCGAUACUGAUAGACUUGAGGACAGGAGGGGUGAGUGGAACUUCAGGUGGAACGGUGAAAUGUGUAGAUAUCUGAAGGAACACCGGUGGCGAAAGCGGCUCACUGGCCUGUCUCUGACGCUGAGAUGCGAAAGCGUGGGGAGCAAACAGGAUUAGAUA
rnacentral:rRNA from 1 species